rnacentral:rRNA from 1 species
CAACAGGGAUUACCUCAGUAACGGCGAGUGAAGCGGUAACAGCUCAAAUUUGAAAUCUGGCUCCUCGGGGCCCGAAUUGUAAUUUGUAGAAGAUGCUUUGGGUCUGGGCCUGGCCUAAGUUCCUUGGAACAGGACGUCGUAGAGGGUGAGAAUCCCGUAUGCGGCUGGCGCCCGUGCCCGUGUAAAGCUCUUUCAACGAGUCGAGUUGUUUGGGAAUGCAGCUCUAAAUGGGUGGUAAAUUUCAUCUAAAGCUAAAUAUUGGCCAGAGACCGAUAGCGCACAAGUAGAGUGAUCGAAAGAUGAAAAGCACUUUGGAAAGAGAGUUAAACAGUACGUGAAAUUGUUGAAAGGGAAGCGCUGGCAACCAGACUUGGGCGCUGUUGAUCCGCUAGGGUUCUCUCUAGGGCACUCGGCAGUGCGCAGGCCAGCAUCGGUUUGGGGGGUUGGAGAAUGGCUGGUGGAAUGUGGCUGUCUUUGGGCAGUGUUAUAGCCACCGGUGGCAUGCAGCCUCCCCGGACCGAGGACCGCGCUUCGGCUAGGAUGCUGGCGUAAUGGUUGUCAGCGACCCGUCUUGAAACACGGACCAAGGAGUCUAACAUCUAUGCGAGUGUUUGGGUGUUAAACCCAUACGCGGAAUGAAAGUGAACGUAGGUGAGAACCCGCAAGGGUGCAUCAUCGACCGAUCCUGAUGUCUUCGGAUGGAUUUGAGUAAGAGCAUAGCUGUUGGGACCCGAAAGAUGGUGAACUAUGCCUGAAUAGGGUGAAGCCAGAGGAAACUCUGGUGGAGGCUCGCAGCGGUUCUGACGUGCAAAUCGAUCGUCAAAUUUGGGUAUAGGGGCGAAAGACUAAUCGAACCAUCUAGUAGCU